rnacentral:rRNA from 1 species
GAUGAACGCUGGCGGCGUGCCUAAUACAUGCAAGUCGAGCGAAAAGACGCGGCGCUUGCUCCGCGGACGUUAGCCGAACACGGGAGUAAAACACGUGGAUACCGUCCCUAUAAGAGUGGGAUAACUUCGGGAAACGGGAGCAAAUCCCGUAUAAUAUCUUGAACCGCGUGGUUCGAUGGUGAAUUUCGGUGUUUCUGGCUCUUAUCGAGGGUUCCGCGCCGCAUUAGCUAGUUGGUAAGGUAACGGCUUACCAAGGCGACGAUGCGUAGCCGACCUGAGAGGGUGAUCGGCCGCACUGGAACUGAGACAGGGACCAGAGUCCUACGGGACGCCGCAGUAUGGAAUCUGCCGCAAUGGGCGAAAGUUUGACGGAGCAACGGCGCGUGAGUGAUGAAGGUCUUCGGAGCGUAAUACUCGGUUAUUAGGUAAGAACAAAUGUGGAAGUAACUAUGCCCGUCUUGACGGUAACUAAUCAGGAAGCCACGGCUAACUACGUG